rnacentral:rRNA from 1 species
UACGAAGGGUGCAAGCGUUACUCGGAAUUACUGGGCGUAAAGCGCGCGUAGGUGGUUUUUUAAGUCCGUUGUGAAAGCCCUGGGCUCAACCUGGGAAUGGCAGUGGAUACUGGAAAGCUAGAGUGCGGUAGAGGGUAGUGGAAUUCCCGGUGUAGCAGUGAAAUGCGUAGAGAUCGGGAGGAACACCAGUGGCGAAGGCGGCUACCUGGACCAGCACUGACACUGAGGCACGAAAGCGUGGGGAGCAAACAGG